rnacentral:rRNA from 1 species
ACCACUUGUUGCCUCGGCGGAUCAGCCCGCUCCCGGUAAAACGGGACGGCCCGCCAGAGGACCCCUAAAACUCUGUUUCUAUAUGUAACUUCUGAGUAAAACCAUAAAUAAAUCAAAACUUUCAACAACGGAUCUCUUGGUUCUGGCAUCGAUGAAGAACGCAGCAAAAUGCGAUAAGUAAUGUGAAUUGCAGAAUUCAGUGAAUCAUCGAAUCUUUGAACGCACAUUGCGCCCGCCAGUAUUCUGGCGGGCAUGCCUGUUCGAGCGUCAUUUCAACCCUCAAGCACAGCUUGGUGUUGGGACUCGCGUUAAUUCGCGUUCCUCAAAUUGAUUGGCGGUCACGUCGAGCUUCCAUAGCGUAGUAGUAAAACCCUCGUUACUGGUAAUCGUCGCGGCCACGCCGUUAAACCCCAACUUCUGAAUGUUGACCUCGGAUCAGGUAGGAAUACCCGCUGAACUUAAGCAU